AGUGAACGCUGGCGGUAGGCCUAACACAUGCAAGUCGAACGGCAGCACAGUAAGAGCUUGCUCUUACGGGUGGCGAGUGGCGGACGGGUGAGGAAUACAUCGGAAUCUACUUUUUCGUGGGGGAUAACGUAGGGAAACUUACGCUAAUACCGCAUACGACCUACGGGUGAAAGCAGGGGAUCUUCGGACCUUGCGCGAUUGAAUGAGCCGCUGUCGGAUUAGCUAGUUGGCGGGGUAAAGGCCCACCAAGGCGACGAUCCGUAGCUGGUCUGAGAGGAUGAUCAGCCACACUGGAACUGGGACACGGUCCAGGCUACUAAGGGAGGCAGCAGUGGGGAAUAUUGGACAAUGGGCGCAAGCCUGAUCCAGCCAUACCGCGUGGGUGAAGAAGGCCUUCGGGUUGUAAAGCCCUUUUGUUGGGAAAGAAAAGCAGCAGGUUAAUACCCCGCUGUUCUGACGGUACCCAAAGAAUAAGCACCGGCUAACUUCGUG
rnacentral:rRNA from 1 species